rnacentral:rRNA from 1 species
UACGUAGGGUGCGAGCGUUGUCCGGAAUUAUUGGGCGUAAAGAGCUUGUAGGUGGUUUGUCGCGUCUGCUGUGAAAAUCCGAGGCUCAACCUCGGACUUGCAGUGGGUACGGGCAGACUAGAGUGUGGUAGGGGAGACUGGAAUUCCUGGGUGUAGCGGUGGAAUGCGCAGAUAUCAGGAGGAACACCGAUGGCGAAGGCAGGUCUCUGGGCCAUUACUGACACUGGAGAAGCGGAAAGCAUGGGGAGCGAACAGG